AUACAUACCUGGUGCCGGGGCCUAGUUGAUCACCGAGGAUGAGUCCCCAGGGCGGGGCGCGGGUAUUACACCGCACUCGCGUUGACCCCUGCCAUUACCCCAAACUAGGGCAGAUUGGGCAUGCAAAUUGCUUAAAUCCGGUUCAACGCAAGAGAGGGCGCCACCGCA
rnacentral:snRNA from 1 species